GUCCCCUUCGUCUAGCGGCCUAGGACAUCGCCCUCUCACGGCGAAAACAGGGGUUCGAUUCCCCUAGGGGACGCCA
rnacentral:tRNA from 2 species